rnacentral:lncRNA from 1 species
GGCAAUGUCGCUUCUCCUUAACAAUCCGGAAACAAUGCAAAAGGCUUCUGAAGAGAUAGAUGCUAUUGUUGGAACAGAGCACAUAUUGGAUGAAGUAGAUGUAACAAAGCUCAGUUACCUGCAAAACAUACUUAACGAGACAUUUAGGCUCUUUCCACCUGCGCCGCUUCUUUUACCACAUGAAUCUUCCGAGGACUGCACUAUUAGUGGAUUUCAUGUGCCCCGAGGCACAAUGUUACUGGUCAAUACUUGGAGCAUUCAUAGAGAUACCAAGCUGUGGGUGGAGCCAACAAAAUUCAUGCCAGAGAGAUUUGAAGGUGGAGAAGGUGAAGGGUAUAAACUGCUUCCAUUGCGUAAUGUAGACCUCGCCAAUCCAUGGUCAACCUCCUCUCUUCUAUGUGAAGCAUAUGGAUGAUUUUCCUCAAGUAUGCUCUCUUUGUUUGCUCUGAGACAUUCUAUAACUAAGAGAAUACUUUUUUCAUUGCAUCCACAAUAAUAUUCUGCUUUUGUGUGGGCACCUUAUGGUGAUCUUUGGCGAAAGCUACGACGUCUUGCUGUUGCUGAAAUAUUCUCUUCAGAGAGUCUACGAAAGUCCUCUACGGUACGUGAGGAAGAAGUUAGUUGCCUCAUUCGCAGACUGUUGAAGGUCUCAACCAGUGGAACACAGAACGUGGAGCUGAGGCUUUUGUUCUCUAUUCUGGCUUCCAAUGUUGUCAUGAGAGUGUCUGCUGGAAAACGUUGUGUUGAAGAGGAACAUGCUGGCACAAAGAUGGAGAAGCAACUAUUUCAAGAUUUUAAGAAUAAGUUCUUUCCUAGCCUGGCCAUGAAUAUCUGUGAUUUUAUCCCAAUUUUGAGGGUGAUUGGUUUUAAAGGGCUGGAGAAGAAUAUGAAAAGGUUGCAUGGAAUUAGAGAUGAUUUUUUGCAAAAUUUGAUUGAUGAAAUUCGAUUAAAAUUAAAGAGAACCACUUCUUUGAAAGCUGAUGAAGUAACAGAUGGAGAAGAGAGAAGGUCGGUGGCUGAAAUUCUCUUGUGUCUGCAAGAAUCAGAACCUGAAUUUUACACGGACGAAGUUAUCAAAAGUACAGUGCUGGUACGUAGUAGCAUGCACCAAGUUUUCUCUGUUAUAUUACAUCUUUAGUAAUCUGAACUAUUAGAGGCUGAAAAUGUCGAAACUUACUGUACAAUCCGUAAUCGGCAAACCCUUUUCUACAUGUUCUUAGUGUUUGAUUCUGCAAAACCAAUUCGUUUCGUCAUUCGUAUUAGUACACUGCUUCCAAGUUUUGGCUGGUAGAAGCUAUUUUUGGAAAAGAACAUAGCUUCGGCAGCCCAGUUUCAUUUCCCAACUUUGGUUCCGGAGGAGAAGAGAAAAGAGUGAAAACUUCUCUGUGUUCUUGUCUGAGCUUUAUGCCACUAUUCUUUAGAUUCUUAACCCGCCCAGUGAAGAUUUACUUGGUUUUUUGUGAAAACUUGUUGAUAUAACAAAAUGAGUACAUAAAUAAUGAACUCUAACCAUAGUUAUAAGAUCCAGUUUAAGGUCUAGAUCGAGAAUUAGUUGGGUCAAUCCACAGGAUAUACGUACCAAGAAUGACAUAAUAUUUGCUGACAAACCCCAAAACUUGUCUGGGGAUCACUUUACUUACAGUUAUAGUGCGUUUGUGCCCAAAAAUGUCUUAAGCUCUAAAGGAAUGGGAAUACCGUGUUUCACCCUUGAAAGUUCACCUUUGUUUCUAUGCUAAAUUUCCAAUAUUCACACAAUGAAGUAUUGUCAAAUUAAACACUAGGAGUAUGAACAAGAUUUUCAUCCUAACAAUGCUAAAGCAGCGUGUAUCAGAUGAUGUUUGUUGCUGGAACAGAAACAUCAGCAAUUACUUUGGAAUGGGCAUUGACACUCCUCUUGAAUCAUCCAAAAGUAAUGCAGAAGGUGAAAGCUGAGAUUGAUGAACAUGUUGGACAUGGGCGUUUGCUUAACGAGUCGGAUAUUGUCAAGCUUCCCUACCUCAGUUGUGUCAUAAACGAGACUCUUAGAUUAUAUCCUCCAGCUCCCCUUUUGCUGCCUCAUUUUUCGUCUGAGGCUUGCAAUGCGGGGGGAUUUGAUAUACCGCAAGGCACAAUGCUGGUGGUAAAUGCUUGGACCAUGCAUAGAGAUCCCAAACUUUGGGAGGAGCCCAAUGAAUUCAAGCCUGAAAGAUUUGAAGCAGGUUUAGGAGAGGGAGAUGGUUUCAAAUACAUUCCAUUUGGAAUAGGGAGGAGAGUUUGUCCAGGUGCUAGCAUGGGUUUGCAGAUAGUUUCUUUAGCCUUGGGUGUCCUCGUCCAGUGCUUCGAGUGGGAUAAGGUUGGAACAGUGGAAGACCCGAGCCAUGGUCUUGGCAUGAUUUUGUCUAAAGCUAAGCCUCUGGAAGCACUGUGUAGUCCACGCCGUGAUUUGAUUACCCUCCUCUCCCAUCUUUAAAUGGGUUUGAAAGCUAUCUUCUCGUCUAGCUUAAGGCUUCAAGGUCAAGUGAAGGGCCUUUCCCCCACCUUCAGAAGGAGAUCUUACAUGGACGCCCGCUGAUGGCAUUCCUUCUAAAUGUUUUACAUCUUAAAAAUGUGUUGAUAGAAUGUGUGAUCUGUUCUACCUAUGAAUUUACAUUAUACUGCUGUUAUUAGUUUGUGUUUAGCAUGAUGAAAGCUGUUAAAUUACCUUUUGUUUUGAAAUAUAUUAAAAUUAUAUUAUUUUUAAUUUUUAGUUUUUUUAAUAUUAAUAUAUUAAAACCAUUCAAAAACAUAAAAUAUUUAUUUUAAAUAAAAAAUUUAUUUUUUCAGCGCAACUUACUAUUUGCCAAACACUACCUUUAUCUUAUAAUAGCUUUUGCAAUUAUUAUUUUAAAAAAUAAAUUUUAAAAAAUAUAUAUAAAUUAUAGUUUUUCCAGGUUUUUACCACGAUUCAAGAAAAAAAGAAGAAAAAAGAAGCAAUGCUAAAUGGAGUGUAAUCUGUUAUCUAAGCUGUUUAGAGGUAAUUACUAUUUUCUGCAACCUAAUUACAUGAAAUGGGCCUAUACUGGUCCUGGGCCUGGGCCUGUGUUUCAUUUGGAAUGGUUGCAGUUAUUCCAUUGCAAUGUUUUGGGCUGGUCAAAGCGUUAAUAAAGGGUUGAUCCUGGGCUUAAAAACAAGUGCCAUUUUAUUUCAAAUAACUUAAAUAAGUGCUUUAUCUACAAAUAGGCUUCAGCCCCAAUAAAAAUAGUUCAGUGUCCCGUGUUAGUUUUACCACGUGUUAAAUGCCAACUGGCUCUAUACCUCAAGCAAAAGACCAUGUUAGUUUUACCACGUGUUAAAUGCCAAUUUGACUUUUGUUUUUUUAAUAAUAGCAAAAACUUGACCAAUUGAGUCCCAAGCCAAUAUAUAAACAUCAACCAACUUUAGUCAUAGAUUUAAUAAAUUGAUAAGAGAAAUAUGAAUUUUGGAAUAAAUUAUUUAGUUAAAUUGAAUAAUAUAUCGAGUUGAUAAAAUCUAAUGGACUCAACUAUUUAAAGGGAAUUUUUAUUUGUGUUUAAGUGUGUUAAGAAGAAAAUGUUAAAUUCAUAUAUAUAUUUUUUUAAUAGUUUUAAUAUAUCAAUAUCAAAAAUAAAAAAAAAUUAUUUUAAUAUAUUUUUAAAUAAAAAUUACUUUUAAAAAAUACCAAGCACAUAUUAAUAUAAUAAAACUUGAUUGAAACUUGACGGAGUAAACAUCAAUUUUUUUCUAAAAUAAAGAAUAAAGCUAUGCUAUUUUAAUAAAAUAAUUGACUAAAGUUGGCUAAGUGAUUCAUUAAUUGUUUUAAUAAUUUUUUUAACCAGAUAAGAAUAAGAGUAAGAUAACUGGACUAGCCACUCUUUCAUGCUUCUCUUGGAAAACAUGCUGUCGUACUACUGCCUUGCUUUCUUCUUCCUAAUUUUUCUUGUAAUCAAAUAUGUAUUCCAUGGUAACAAAAACUUGCCACCAAGUCCUCCUUCUCUUCCAAUAAUAGGCCAUCUCCUCCUUCUCAAGCCACCACUACACCAAACGCUACAGACUUUAUUGCAGCAAUAUGGCCCAGUUCUUUCCCUUAAAGCAGGCUGCAGGUCUAUGCUUGUUCUUAGUUCUCCAUCAGCUGUUGAAGAAUGUUUCACAAAGAACGACGUGGUCCUUUCCAACAGGCCUACUUUCUUAGCCGGAGAUCAUUUAACUUACAACUAUACCACUAUUAUCUUCUCUCCAUAUGGCCAUCUUUGGCGUACCCUCAGGCGCUUCGCCGUCCUUGAAAUGUUCUCUCAGAAAGGCCUCAAUAAGUUCUCUGCAGUCCGCAAAGAAGAAGUUUGCUCCCUUCUCCGCCAAUUGUCUAAAGUCUCCUGUAGUGGCAACAAAAAGGUGGAUUUGCAUUAUUUCUUCUCACUCCUCAGUUUCAAUGUCGCUAUGAGGAUGUCUGCUGGUAAGAAAUGUAUUGAAGAGGAGGUUGCCUGCUCGGAUUUGGGCAAGCAGGAUCUUACGGAACUCAAAAAGAUAUUCCAUCCACCUUUAUCCACGGGUUUGUGUGAUUUCUUUCCUGCUUUGAAAUGGAUCAAUUACAAAGGGUUUGAGAAGAGUGUUAUCAAGGUGCGUGAUGGGAGGGAUGGAUUUUCGCAAGACUUGAUAGAUGAGAUUCGACAAAAGAAAACCAGUUCAUGUUCAAGUCCUGAUGCAGGACCGGAGAAGACAACCAUGAUCGAAACUUUAUUGUCUCUCCAAGAACAAGAACCUGAUUUCUAUACAGAUGAUAUCAUCAAGGGUCUCGUAGUGGUAAGCAGUUUUUGCAGGCAGAUUUAGAUUGAUUGUCUUUCCAUCUGUUUCUGAAUUUUGGUUUGCAGUUGACAAAAUUAUUUGCUGUUUAUCGUUGGCCAUUAAGAAUAGCAUGGAGAAAUUUAUUUUGAUUAUUUCGUUUCUCCCUUAUUUUUUCAACUGCCAACUGACUAAUGUCGCAGAAAAAUUACCUUGACAGAUGCUUCAUGCUUGUGAUAUUACUUGCCUGUAAGAGAGCUGACGAGCUGUUCUUGCUGGCUUGCUGUAUUCUCUUUCUGCACUUUUCUUUUCCCCCGGCUCCAACAAUUUGUCUGUCUUCGUUUGGCUUUAUUAUGUGCUCUUUGUAGUUAAUCUAGACGGGCCAUGUGACAGGUUAAAUCUAGUUAAUUCGAUCAAGUUUUUGAUUGAUCCAGUUACAUUCAAUCGAAACCUAGUCGGGUUAAUUAAAAAGAAACAAUGAUUUUUUAACUAAAUAAUUAAUCUGGGAUUGACCUGAUAACCUAUUAAUCCAUGCUCUUUUUUUAGCUAGUUCUUUACCUUUGAGAAAAACCGAACUACUGAUUAUAUUAUAAUAGAAAUGUUAUUAUCAAUAUCUUAAAAAAAUCCUAAUGAAAAAUGGAUGGCGCAUGCUAAUUGCAGUAUAACAAUUCUGCCGUUCACUUUCUCAAUUCAUGCAUCUCCCCUUGUCUGAUUCUGGCUCGUUUUCUUUUUUGCCCCCACGUAACACGAACGUGGCUAUAUAUGUGUUUCCCAGCUGAUCACAGUACAUCUAUCAAGUUCUUAAAAUAUGGACAAGGACGAUGAAUUGAUAGAUUAGUUCACAUUUUUUAUUCAAUUAUUAUGGAGUAUUCUGCAGUGUAAAUGGAUGUGUAUGUUACUAAUGCUUCUGUUCAAAAGUAUAUAUUAGCAUUUUUCGUUGGCUGACUUGAAUUUCUUCUUGUUCUACAGGCAAUGUUUUCUGCAGGGACAGAUACAGUAGCUGUUACCAUGGAAUGGGCAAUGUCACUUCUGCUGAAUCAUCCAGAGAUAUUGCAGAAGGUAAGAGAAGAGAUUGAUAGUCAAGUUGGGCAUACGCGCUUGGUAGAGGAGGUGGAUCUUCCUAAGCUAAAAUAUCUCCGUUGCGUUAUCAAUGAGACGCUUCGGCUGUAUCCUGUUGUGCCACUCUUACUCCCACGUUGUCCAUCUGAAGACUGUACCGUGGCAGGAUACAAGGUUCCAAAAGGCACAAUCCUACUGGUGAAUGCUUUCGCCAUGCACAGGGAUCCCAAGAUGUGGGAACAACCUGACAGGUUCAAGCCAGAGAGAUUUGAAGCGACCGAGGAGGAAAAGGAAGGCAUCAAGUUUAUUCCAUUUGGUAUGGGAAGGAGGGCUUGCCCAGGAUCUAACAUGGGUAUGCGCGCAAUCAUGUUGGCAAUGGCUGCACUUUUUCAGUGCUUUGAGUGGGAGAGGACUGGACAGGAGAUGGUUGAUAUGACAGUAGCAGCAGCAAUUUCUAUGGUUAAGGCUAAGCCUUUGGAGGCUUUUUGUAAACCAUAUCAUUCCAUGGCUAACCUAUUCUCCCAGCUCUAGUGCGAAGGUAUGAUCGGGCUUCUGGUCCUUCUAUGUAGCUUUUUUCUAUGGUUGGACCGCUUCAAUCUUCAUGCUCAUUAUGGAACGAUUAAUAUGUAAAUUAUUGCUUGAUUUGUGUGAUUGAGCUGUAAGGAAAACGUGUUGUUGCCUUUGAAAUAAAUAAUGUUUAGAUACAUGUUACAUGCUGCCAACAUUAAUUCCCUUAAUGAUGAGUCACAAACAAGGCAGGGGGAAGGAAUUUGAACAGAGCCAUAACGAGAAAACUUCAAAUUCAUCAAACACACCGUUUCACUUAUAAUUAGUAAUGUGUCAAUAGACACGUGUAAGAAAACUGUAAAUCCUACUAUUCCGGACGAACACCCUGCAUGCAUAUAAUGCACUGCAAUCGAAUGGAAUAGGCAGAGAAGAAAAAUACACCUUGUGUGUGUGUGUGUGUGAAGAGAGAAAUUCAGGUGAAUUUGCUCUCAUCCUAUCCAAGUCCAAUUUCAAUUCAGUUUCAGUCAUUGUCACUAGUUUUUCAAUCACCAAGUAUACCUUGUAGUAUUCCUUGGCUCCUAAAGUUUUUCUGUAAUAGUGACAGUAUUCUCUUGAAUAAAGAUUCAGUAUUCUUCAUUCUGUUGAAUCGACACAAUCCAUCAUUCUGUUGAUUCUUGUUUCAUAGUUUCAGAGAAGAUGCCCAUGACUCAAGGGUUGAUUUUUAUUUUUAUUUUUAAAAAACUAAAACUACACUGUUUUAACAAAAAAAUUCAAUAAAAAACCAAUGAGUUAAUGACUAGAUCUUGAUCGAGUUAGGUUAAGUCGACUAAAUCAUAUGAACAAUCUAAGUUUUUAACGUUAUUAGAUAAGUUAAUACGUUAAUUAUUGCUUGAUUUGUGUGAUUGAGCUGUAAGAAAUAAAUAAUGUUUAGAUUCAUCAUUCUUUUGGUUUUUGUUUCAUAGUUUCAGAGAAAUACCCGUGACUCAAGAGUUGAUUUUUAUUUUUAUUUUUAAAAAACCAAAACUACAUUAUUUUAAUAAAAAAUUUCAAUGAAAAAACCAGCGAGUUAAUGACUAGAUCUUGAUCAAGUUAGGUUCACAUCGACUAAAUCACAGGAACAAUCUAACUUUUUAACCUGAUUAGCUAAGUUUUUUACCCAACUUAGUCAAGAUAUAUCACUAAUAGAAAGAAUUGUGUAGUCAUGUAUGACAAAAUAUUGAAUUGUGAGGCCCUCGGUAUUAUUUAUGUUUUGUUGUGUAGGAGAUGAGCACGAACAGAGCCAAUACUUAUUAACCUCACUUGAGCAUACCCCACUGGAAGGUUAGUGAGGUUAAUAAAUUUCUACUCCCAAUCUGAGGUCAUUCCUCGCCUCAUUUGGUAGAACAUCCUGGUGAGAUAGUGAUUGAAUCUAGAUUAUAAUUAUUUUGUCUAGUAUUUAAAUAUUCAUAUUUUUUUAAGCUUUGUCGUCUAACCACAGACAGGUGAAAAUCAUUUCACUUAAAUUAUCUUUUCUCACCUUAAUUUCAAAAGUUGCAAUUUUUUUUCUUUUGACUUUUUCCAUUGAUGUAAAGUUAAGGCUGCCCAAUUUGGCUGCAUUAUACAUUUUAAACAAUUGCAAAGAUAUUAAACAUUAACACCCAGUAGACGCCCGUCAUAACAGCCUUCCCUAGGAUUAAUAUCAAUAAAUCUACCGCUACAUAUCAAUCACUGUCACCUUUAACCCAAUAAUGCCGUUCAAAUGAUUUUUGUGAAGAAUUAUUUAUUUUAAUUUAAAAUUAUUAUUUUUAUAUUUUGAAAAUAUAUUAAUGUGCUGAUAUUAAAAAUAAAUUUUAAAAAUAAAAAAAAAUCAUUUUAAUACAUUUCUGAAUAAAAAAUAAUUACAACUACAUUUCAAUCCAGGGGCAUGAAAAGAAAAGAAAGAGAGGAAAGCAGUUAAUUACCGGAAGUGAAACUUCAUCUCCUACCAUUUAAUAUAUGUUCAAUAUACGAUAUACUAGAUCAUAUAUAUUAUAUAUAUACAAAUAUGGCUUUAACCUCUUAUAUGAAAGUUUAUUAAAUAGACCAUAAUAAGAAUAUCAUAAAAUAAGGCUCGUCAGAAAAUUAAAAUGCAAUAAGCAUGACACUCCGUACUAUAGAAUGAUCAGUCGCCACGGGUUGGUAACUCCUAUGACCAACUAGGGUUUAUAUAUGAUGUACACAAAGACUUAAAUUAUCCUAUUAACAUGAGUAUUCUGACUAGCAUACCAUAGAUUCAUAUCAUAAUCAAACAAUCAGAUUCAUAUCUCAAGACUCAACUCAUGACAUCAAUCAAAUAAAAAGCUAUCAAUUCAGAAAUAUAUAAUGGUUUGUAUCAAAUAUUCAUUUUCAAUAAGUGAUCAUGUUUAAUUAUAAACAAUGAAUAAAUAAUAAUUAUCAAGAAACAUGAUCGAUUUCAUACUAACAAUUCAAGUAUUUAUAUUAAUUAUUUAGCAUAUGGAAAAUUAUUCACUCAUCUGACUCAAAAGUAGAAAUAACACGGAAGCAAAUACCGGAGACAAUCCUACUGAUGUCUCAUAGGUAGAAUAUCAAGAUUAUAUGAAUACAAAAGGAGACACACUAAAAAAACAGCUAAAAAAAAUAUACAAAUCUAUUUAAUAUAUUUAACUAAAGGUUUAACUCAUAACCAAAUAUGUUUAUGGAAGAUGGAAUAGGACUCAAGUACCCAAAACCGAGCCCUUGCAGGUCCUAUAUAAACCUCAUUAAGCCAUGCUUAAGCAUCUCUCCACCUUGUAAGUUGUAUGAUGAUGAAAUUUCACAAUAAACUCCUGUAGCUGAUGAAAUCCAUCCUAGUAUAUACCAAUACUAAUGUUGUCCUAAAAUUCAAGAUUGGUAAAUAAAAGAUUAUUUAAUGUUUAAAACAGUGGUUAAUUAAUAUAUUAAGUGUUUGAAUUUCUUUUUCUUAACAUAAGGAACUCCAAACUUAUGAUAGAAGCUUGAGUAUCAGAGGGGAUUUAAAGACCCUCCAAUGAUAAAGUUGAUAUAUUUAUGGGAAAUGUAUUAAAUGACUUAAAAGAGCUUUAAAAUCAAGGAAAAAACAUGUUUGUUCUUAAAUUUUAAGUUGGUUAAUGCUCUGAAAUUUAUAUAUUUUUAUCUUAAAAGAUAAAAAAUUCUAACUUUUUACUUAGAUGGUUCAUGAGGUAUUUAUACCUCCUGAACCUUGUUGUUUUUAGAGAAAAAAAUGAUUGGAAAGCCUUUUAUUUUCAGCGACAUUAAUAGUAGAGAAAUAUUUUUUACAUAUAAUUAAUGAGAUAAUUAGUAUGAUAUAUUUAUUAAAAGACGUUGUGUACACCUAUGAGCAUAGUUAUGACAGUUUAUCAUGUUUUUUUUAUAUUUUUAUUGUAGAGGAUCGUCCAUGACCAUACAUAUAGCUUUAAAACUUGGACAUUAACAAAUUUUUUAGGUUUGACAUGUUUGCCUGAAUUAUAUUACCUUGAACUUAGCUAAUUUACACGUAUAAAUCUUUUGAAUUUGGCAUAUUCUUCAAACGUUUUAUCUAACUUGAUUUUUUUAUAAGAAUUUUAACUAAAAACUGAACUCAUCAGAUAUUAGAUAUUAGAUAGUAUAACCUUCUCUGACUCUUGAGUAUAUAAAUCUUGAUGUUUGGGAUACAUUGGGCCCAUAAAAUCAUCACUAAAUUAGAAAUCAGAGGGUUAUGAUCUAAUAAUGGAUUCCAUGGCCUCCUACCCUGGUAAAACCCGAUUCAAUAUUUUGAGUGGGAGAUCUUUUCUUUGAAUAUGAUAGAAUCACCCACAAGAACUUAUUUAAAACAGGAAUCAACAAAAUCUCUUUAUAAUUGUGCAGCCGAUAUAAAUAUAUAAGAACAAUCGAGGACAAUGUUAUCAUGGAGCAUCUUGUUAAACCUGGUCUCUUCGGUAAAUUGACAUGGGAAAUCCAUGAUUUGAAGUCUAAAUUGGAAAAAUCAUUGAUUUAAUCAUUGUUUUGGGUGCAAUAUUCCUUCCUCGCUAAUUUUGGACAUGGAAUGAGAAGAAUUUUUUGUGUGAAAACACUGCAAAGGAGCUCUGAUUAUAAGAAUGAGACACAUAAAUGAGGAGGGCCUCCUCUUCGUUUUGAAACUGCUUGUGGAACAAAGAGUGACGCCUGAUCUUUCCGUUUAAAUGCAAAUGUCUUCCAUUACUACAUCAAGAACACGUCACAAAGAAAAAUAAUAAAAAAUGAAGAACAUGCUUAGGCUUUGGUUCCAUUAGGUGAUCAAGUUACGACUUACGAGGGCAUUCCAGAUUCCAACACUGGCUCCAAAGGAGAUGCCUGGGAGAACUGAAUCAAUGUCAGAACGUCUCCAAUCAAUUAAAUGCAGACACCCAAGUAAAGAAUUAAAAAAAAACAAUUCAAGUUAACGGGCCCUAAAACUCUGUUUAUUAAUUAAUAUAUAUCAUAAUUUUAUAUAUUAAUUAUAAAAUUAUGACAUCUCAAUUUAGUUUGAAUUUGAGUUAAUCUCCUUUUCCCUUUGUUCUGCUUCACCCUUAGUUUGAAUUUGACAUCUCAAUUUUCAAUUCCAAUGCCAUUAGCUAAUGCAAAAUGGCAAGGGCCAUUACACUGACAGAAAAUACACGCAAAGGCCAAUUUGUUUUAGCUGUCUCUUUCCAUUAUUUGGGUUCUAGUGGCCGGCCAACUGUGUAAAGUUUACCUUUGCAAUCAAAAUUUCUGUAUAUAGAAUGUGUAUGUUUUAGAGGUGAAGGUUGCGGUGGUUUGAGUGUGUAACCACCAAAAAACUUAAAACAAAUUAGUUUUUAUAAUUGAGUUUUAUGUAUAAUUAGAUUGUAUUCCAUCACAACCUCAACAAAAAAAAAAAAAAACUAAAAUAAACACCAAUUAUUGUGAUAUUUGUAAAGUUCCUCUAGGAUUCAAGACAAUUGACUUCAAGAUUUCAUAGUGGGAAGUGUAAUCGAAUCAGUCUGAAUCUCUAUAUCCUGUCCAUCAUAGCUUAUAUCUGCAAUUCUUCAUACUAAUUACUGCUGUCUUAUCGUGAAUUUUAUUAACAUCCAUCCUUCCAACGCAGAAGCCUGCACCAAGGAAGAUGGAGGUAUCUCACUGGUUCAACUUUGCAGCACUAUUCUUCUUCUUUGUGCUUGCAUCAAAGCUUGUUAUAUACAAACUUGGAAAUCCCAAAAACCUCCCACCUAGUCCACCUUCCCGUCCUAUCAUAGGGCAUCUCCAUUUAUUAAAGCAACCAAUUCAUAGAACUCUGUGCGAGCUUUCUAAGAAGUAUGGUGACAUACUGUUUCUCCGAUUUGGGGCUCGUAAAGUCCUUGUAAUCUCUUCACCAUCAGCCGUUGAAGAGUGCUUUACUAGAAAAGAUGUAAUAUUUGCUAACCGCCCUCGUACACUAGCUGGAAAACAUCUCAAUUACAACUCGACAACCAUGGGUUUCUCUUCUUAUGGUGAGCAUUGGCGCAACCUCAGGCGCUUAACAACCAUUGAGCUCUUCUCUGCAAGUCGUGUUGCCUCGUUCUCUGAUAUUAGAAAAGAGGAAGUUCAGCUAUUGCUAAACCAAUUGUUUCGGGAUUCCAGCAAACAACAGGCUAAGGUGGGGCUUACAGCAAGUUUUAUGGAGCUUACAUUCAAUGUUAUGAUGAGAAUGAUUGCAGGAAAACGUUAUUAUGGAAAAGAAGUGGUGGAUGAAGAAGCGGGACAGUUUCAGAAUAUUAUAAAAGAAAUGGAGGCGCUGCGAGGGAGUUCUAAUAUGAAUGAUUUCUUUCCAGUACUGCAAUGGAUAGAUUUCCAAGGUUUGGAGAAGAGAAUGAUGGGGUUGAAGAAGAAGAUGGACAAAUUCUUGCAGGAUCUCAUCGAGGAGCACCAGAAAGUGAGGAGUCAGUCAUCUCAGUCCACCAAGAUAACCGGUUUGGGCAACCAAAAGAGAAACAUGACACUUAUUGAUGUUAUGUUAUCGUUGAAAGAGACAGAACCUGAAUUCUAUACUGAUCAAACCAUAAAAGGUGUAAUCAUGGUAAGAAAAUCUCUAGAACUUAUGAUCCCAAUUUCAACAAAUUGACCAGAGACAACUGUUGGGGAUCACAAGUGAUCAUUCCGUUAGGUGAUGGGCAAUAGGCUCUUUACUGUUGAUAAAUUUCUACUAAUAUUCCUGUUUAUCUGAUAUCUUCAUUCUGAAGACAUAUUGGUAACACAUCUGAGCAUGUGCAGUCAACACUAACCGCAGGAAGCCAAACUUCAGCAGCUACCUUAGAGUGGGCAAUGUCGCUUCUCCUUAACAACCCGGAAACAAUGCGAAAGGCUUCUGAAGAGGUAGAUGCUAUCGUUGGAACAGAGCACAUAUUGGAUGAAGUAGAUGUAACAAAGCUCAGUUACCUCCAAAACAUAAUUAACGAGACAUUUAGGCUCUUUCCACCUGCGCCGCUUCUUUUACCACAUGAAUCUUCCGAGGACUGCACUAUUAGUGGAUUUCAUGUGCCCCGAGGCACAAUGUUACUGGUCAAUACUUGGAGCAUUCAUAG